rnacentral:lncRNA from 1 species
CUAGAACCAAAGGGAGACACUAAACCUCUCUGCAAACUCUUUGUACGUUCCCAUCUGUGACUUCAUAAAUAUUUGAUGCAGUGGCCAGUCAACAUCCCUACAUUAGUGAAACUUCUGCCCAGGAGCAACUGCACAGCUCUCAGCGAUGAGAUCGGACCCAGGAGGCAAAUGCAGCAUGACUCACUCCCUCCGUUGCCCUUGGUUAAACAGCCGUGAAUAUCUAAAAUCACCCCAGUACACAGUUGCGUAUUUUAGUUGUGGGUCCUUCUAGUUGUGGCAUGUGGGACACGGCCCCAGCAUGGCCUGAUGAGCUACUCCCAUGCCCAGGAUCCGAACCAGCGAAACCCCGGGUCGCCGAAGUGGAGCACACGAACUCAACCACACUGCCACGGGGCCGGCCCCAGCUAAGAAUAUUUUUGUAUUUGUUUUCAUUGUUUUGCUCAGUACCUAAAUCUUCAUUAAAUGAAGAGUUUGUAAUGCCCGUUUUGAAUUGUAUGUAGGUUUGCUUAGCAGAUCUGUUUACUUUCAUUAUCUGCAAUUUAAAAAAUUGAAGCUGACCACCUCUUUGAAUAUAUUCUACUUUUUCCUUUUCAGCCCUUGCUUUGCUGAGCUCCAAUUCC